rnacentral:lncRNA from 1 species
AGCACUGGUAAGUCACCACUUGAGGUCCCUAUUUUCACCCCCAUCCUGCUUUCCCUUCCUUGGGUGCAUAGAACCAGUAUCCUACCCAGGGGCCCUGUCUAGGGACCCACACAGGUUCACUCUCUCUGGGCAUCAUCCAGUGCCCAGCUCCUAGUCAUAGCAAGACUUACCUGUCCUAGUUGCCAUGCCUUCAGACUUGCUUCCUGACCUUCAUGAAGAGUAUGUAUGUCCCUGUGUGCUAGAGCCACUGAUCCCCAUGACUUAAUAUGUGCUCAUCCCCUCAGGCAGGACUUGCUGAAUGUAUAUCCAGUACUCAGGAAACACUUACUUCUGAAUUAAUGAAUGAAAGGAAGAGUAGCAAAGUUUCUCUGGCAAUCCCAUGCCUUACUCCCAACCAGUAAGCCUAAUAUUGGCGUUCAGGCUAAUACAAAUGAAUCUGGAAGCAAAAGACCUUUGCCUUUUAUAAAACUGAAGCCGUUGAAAUAGCACUACAUGGUAAGAAUGGCCAGGAGAGAUGUAGAGCCAUUGGUGGCCUCCCCAUAUGCAUUUCCUUUUCCCCUUUCUUAACAGGGCCCCCUCCUUCCCAGCCAUGCAGUUGAGAGGAAUUAACCUAACCAAAGUUUUCUGGGUGGAGUUUGGCAGGAGUCUCCAUUGCCAGUAAAAACCCGCUUGGCCACUUGUGUAGAAAGAGGAAUUAAUAUUUGAAUACUCAACUGACUGGUUCUUCUUGGGAGCAAGUAGCCAAGUAAAUAACCAAGGGAGAACAAGGGAAGGAACAAAAUGGCAGCAAGCCCAAAGGAGACAUGCCUCAAUCAUCCUGCAGCACCCUGGACGUGGCCAUGGGAUGACAUCCUCCCUCCAGCGCCCUGCCAUGGUACACAGAACGAGCCUCCGUGCGGGAGGAAGGAUACUGGCUGAUUUCGGCUGUGCCUGGUCCAAUCUUGGCUUACCUCAGACGGAGUUCUGGCUGCCUCACUUUCAAUAUGUUGCCGCCUUCCCUGAGAACUCAGAGAGGUCACAUCCACAUCAGGACUUCAGCGCCAGACCCUCCCACUGCCCACCCUUUGCUACCUUUUCUCUCACUUUGUACCGACUCCUCUUGCUAAUUCUCCUUUGUGUGUUUGGAGACCGUCUCUCACCACUUUCACUCAGAUGACCUACUAAACUAUUUUCUCUGCUCAGGUUGUUAAACUAGAAGUUACAGUGGUCUUGAGUCUUGGUUAAGCUUGAUUAAGAUUAAGCUUUAAGUUCAUCAUAGUCUAUGCUGGUUUAAGUGAUGAAUACAGAUGUGCCCCCAGAGUGGCCAAGGGCUGUGCCACGAAAAUAAUAUGCUUUUCAGGAGCGCAUCUUCUCCCCCCUAAAUAUGUGAGGAUGUGUUUGCACCAAAGAUAGAGCAGGGUGUUCAGGGCACAGAUCUGAUGGGGAGGAUCAUGUUCAGGAAAACCACCUUUAGAGCAAACUCGCGAUUCUAUCCAGUUCUCCUUACACCUUGUUUCCUCACAAAAUUAGGCAAAUUCUAAUAGCUAUAGACUUUCGGUAAUUCCUUAGCCUUUCAGAUUUUGCCAUGUAACAGUGUGAUUUCUGCGUUAGCCUGAGUACAGUACUGCAUUCCCUUCUGAGCCUGAGGGGACACCCAUAUGAGUCUUAAAUUUCCAACAAGUGACACUUUGCCUGACUCUACUCUGUUAAAGACUCUUUUGGAAAUCAAUUCUAUAACGUAGUGUAGUACGUUAUAGAAUUCUGGUAAUUAGGAGUUCCCACUGUGGCUCAGCACUAACGAACCCAACUAGUAUCCGUGAGGAUGAGAGUUCAAACCCUGGCCCGGCAUUGCUGUGAGCUGCAGUGUAGGUCAAAGACUGGGUUCGGAUUUGGCAUUGCCAUGGCUAUGGUGUAGACUGGCAGCUGCAGCUCCAAUUCAACCCCUAGCCUGAGAAUUUCCACAUGCCACAGGUGCAGCCCUAAAAGACAAAAUAAUAAUAAUAAUAAUAAUAAUAAUAAUAAUAAUAAUUCUGGUAACUAUAGAAUACUCAAAGAUAAAAUCCAAAAGCUACUAAAAUCUGCUCAGAGGACGUUAACACACAGAAAAAUCAGAGUGAGUUGUAUUUUUCUUCAAUCUAGCCCAAGGAUGGGCAAGAGGGUGUAGGAAUUUGACAACGUCGAUGCUUGGCCAGAGGAACCCCCCCCCCCGCCCCCCACGGCCAGAAGCCACCUGCUAUGAGAGUUCCCAGGUGCUAUGCAUUUCCUUUAUUUGCCUUUGAGACUCCAACCCUGAGGAGCUCCCAAAGGCUUUUAGAUAAUGAAGACAUUGCUGCAUUCAUCAUUGAUCCCAUUCCCCCAAAACAGCCACAUUUCUAAGUUCAGUGGCAGGAGAAUAAAAUAUUCAUCCCCUUCUGUCAUUCCCAGAAGGAGUGCUAGAGAAAAUAUAACCAACAAGGGGUGACAUUGCUGCACUGAGCGGGUACACCCACAGGUGAAACGGAUUC